rnacentral:rRNA from 1 species
GAUGAACGCUGGCGGCGUACCUAAUACAUGCAAGUCGAGCGAACAGACGAGGAGCUUGCUCCUCUGACGUUAGCGGCGGACGGGUGAGUAACACGUGGAUAACCUACCUAUAAGACUGGGAUAACUUCGGGAAACCGGAGCUAAUACCGGAUAAUAUAUUGAACCGCAUGGUUCAAUAGUGAAAGACGGUUUUGCUGUCACUUAUAGAUGGAUCCGCGCCGCAUUAGCUAGUUGGUAAGGUAACGGCUUACCAAGGCAACGAUGCGUAGCCGACCUGAGAGGGUGAUCGGCCACACUGGAACUGAGACACGGUCCAGACUCCUACGGGAGGCAGCAGUAGGGAAUCUUCCGCAAUGGGCGAAGGCCUGACGGAGCAACGCCGCGUGAGUGAUGAAGGUCUUCGGAUCGUAAAACUCUGUUAUUAGGGAAGAACAAAUGUGUAAGUAACUAUGCACGUCUUGACGGUACCUAAUCAGAAAGCCACGGCUAACUACGUG